GGUCAUUAUGCACAGUGGAAUCUAUGAAAAUUGAAAAUUAUAGUACAAUAACACAGGAAAAGUGGUGUUUUAAAUUGUCACUUUUUGUUGUAAUUAUAGCAACUAAAAUAGACCUCCUGAAAAUUUCUUAAAAAUUCUACAUGCAAAUAACAAUAAAAACUACUUUUUUUUUCAUUCUCACUACUGCCAUUACUGGUAGACAGCAUGCUGGUAGGCUACUAAAUAAAUGAGAAAUUCUUUUUUUAUAUUUUUCAGGAUAACCUCCAGCAGUAAGAAAUAUAAAGGCUCACUGCAGUUUUGAGUGCUCAACAAGUAUUGACCCCAUACUAUGCUCAGCAAGUAGGGCCCUUGUAUUUCUGUGAAUCCUCAUGCAGUACAGUACUGCUGUUGGAAGAGGAGCAGACAGUGUGGUAUCUAUGGUCCAUCAUCACUUCAAGCAUCAUGGCUAUGGAGAAAAGAAUGUUUCAUUACAUAUCGACAAUAAUAGUGGACAAAAUAAGAAAAGUGUUGUAAUAUGCUAUGGAAUGUGGCUUGUUAUGAUGGGUCUACAUGAUGACUUGGAGUACAACCUGAUUGAGGCCCGGCAUACAGAAUUCAGUCCUGAACAUGUUUAGAAUGUCUUCUGCAUGACCUGGUAUAGAUAGUAUUCUUGAAGGAUUAUAA